GGGAGCAUUCCAUUCAGCGUCGAAGCAGUUUCGUGAGGAAUUGUGGAGCGUAUGGAAAAGCAAAUGUAGGCAUGAGUAACGAUAAUGCGGGAGAGUAACCCGCACACCGCAAGACCAAGGUUUCCUGAUCAACGCUAAUCGGAUCAGGGUUAGUCGGGUCCUAAGGGUAAGCCGAACGGCGAUCUCGAUGGAUAAUCGGUUAAUAUUCCGAUACUGACAUAUACCUCGAUGGAGAGACGAAGGAACGUAAGUGCCGCCACCUGACGGAAUAGGUGGUUAAAGGGCUUAGGUAUAGGGGCAGAUUAAGAGUUAGUCCUUGCUGAAACCUGACAGUACAGAGAGCCUACGGGCAAUUUGAUAGAGCACCCAAGUCGACUUCCGAGAAAAUCUUCUAAGUUAUAGUAUAUGUUACCCGUACCGUAAACCGACACAGGUGGUCGAGGAGAGUAUCCUAAGGUGCUCGAGUGAAUCACGGUUAAGGAACUAGGCAAAUUAACCCCGUAACUUCGGGAAAAGGGGUCCCUAUGAAAGUAGGGCGCAGCGAAGAGGUCCAGGCGACUGUUUAUCAAAAACACAGGGCUCUGCAAAUUCGAAAGAAGACGUAUAGGGCCUGACACCUGCCCGGUGCUGGAAGGUUAAGAGGGGAUGUCAUCGCAAGAGAAGCAUUGAAUCGAAGCCCCAGUAAACGGCGGCCGUAACUAUAACGGUCCUAAGGUAGCGAAAUUCCUUGUCGGGUAAGUUCCGACCUGCACGAAUGGUGUAACGAUCUGGACACUGUCUCAACCGUGAGCUCGGUGAAAUUGUAGUCCCGGUGAUGAUGCCGGGUACCCGCAACGGGACGAAAAGACCCCGUGAACCUUUACUAUAGCUUAACGCUGAAUUUGGGUACACAAUGUGUAGGAUAGGCCGGAGGCUUUGAAGCGGGCACGCCAGUGUUCGUGGAGCCGACGUUGAAAUACGGCCCUUUGUGUAUUUGAGUUCUAACCCUGCGAAGGGGACACCGUUUGGUGGGUAGUUUGACUGGGGUGGUCGCCUCCAAAAGCGUAACGGAGGCUUCCCAAGGUACCCUCAGCACGAAUGGUAACCGUGCGCAGAGUGCAAUAGCAUAAGGGUGCUUGACUGUGAGACAUACAAGUCGACCAGGUACGAAAGUAGGGUAUAGUGAUCCGGUGGUUCUGCGUGGACUGGCCAUCGCUCAAAGGAUAAAAGGUACUCCGGGGAUAACAGGCUGAUCGCCGCCAAGAGCUCAUAUCGACGCGGCGGUUUGGCACCUCGAUGUCGGCUCGUCACAUCCUGGGGCUGGAGAAGGUCCCAAG
rnacentral:rRNA from 1 species